rnacentral:rRNA from 1 species
GGCGUAAGCGCGCGUAGGUGGCUAAUUAAGUCAAAUGUGAAAUCCCCGAGCUUAACUUGGGAAUUGCAUUCGAUACUGGUUAGCUAGAGUAUGGGAGAGGAUGGUAGAAUUCCAGGUGUAGCGGUGAAAUGCGUAGAGAUCUGGAGGAAUACCGAUGGCGAAGGCAGCCAUCUGGCCUAAUACUGACACUGAGGUGCGAAAGCAUGGGGAGCAAACAGGAUUAGAUACCCUGGUAGUCCAUGCCGUAAACGAUGUCUACUAGCCGUUGGGGCCUUUGAGGCUUUAGUGGCGCAGCUAACGCGAUAAGUAGACCGCCUGGGGAGUACGGUCGCAAGACUAAAACUCAAAUGAAUUGACGGGGGCCCGCACAAGCGGUGGAGCAUGUGGUUUAAUUCGAUGCAACGCGAAGAACCUUACCUGGCCUUGACAUACAGAGAACUUUCCAGAGAUGGAUUGGUGCCUUCGGGAACUCUGAUACAGGUGCUGCAUGGCUGUCGUCAGCUCGUGUCGUGAGAUGUUGGGUUAAGUCCCGCAACGAGCGCAACCCUUUUCCUUACUUGCCAGCAUUUCGGAUGGGAACUUUAAGGAUACUGCCAGUGACAAACUGGAGGAAGGCGGGGACGACGUCAAGUCAUCAUGGCCCUUACGGCCAGGGCUACACACGUGCUACAAUGGUCGGUACAAAGGGUUGCUACACAGCGAUGUGAUGCUAAUCUCAAAAAGCCGAUCGUAGUCCGGAUUGGAGUCUGCAACUCGACUCCAUGAAGUCGGAAUCGCUAGUAA